rnacentral:rRNA from 1 species
UACGUAGGGUGCAAGCGUUGUCCGGAAUUAUUGGGCGUAAAGAGCUCGUAGGCGGUUUGUCGCGUCGAAUGUGAAAACCCGGGGCUCAACUCCGGGCCUGCAUUCGAUACGGGCAGACCAGAGUUCGGUAGGGGAGACUGGAAUUCCUGGUGUAGCGGUGAAAUGCGCAGAUAUCAGGAGGAACACCGGUGGCGAAGGCGGGUCUCUGGGCCGAUACUGACGCUGAGGAGCGAAAGCGUGGGGAGCAAACAGG